rnacentral:rRNA from 1 species
CAGCCGCCGCGGUAAAACGGAGGGUGCAAGCGUUAUCCGGAUUCACUGGGUUUAAAGGGUACGUAGGCGGGCAGGUAAGUCAGUGGUGAAAUCUUCGAGCUUAACUCGGAAACUGCCGUUGAUACUAUCUGUCUUGAAUAACGUUGAGGUGAGCGGAAUAUGUCAUGUAGCGGUGAAAUGCUUAGAUAUGACAUAGAACACCGAUUGCGAAGGCAGCUCACUAAACGCUCAUUAACGCUGAGGCACGAAAGCGUGGGGAUCAAACAGGAUUAGAGACCCCAGUAGUCCCUGUCUCUUAUAC